rnacentral:rRNA from 1 species
CCUGGCUCAGAUUGAACGCUGGCGGCAGGCCUAACACAUGCAAGUCGAACGGUAACAUUUCUAGCUUGCUAGAAGAUGACGAGUGGCGGACGGGUGAGUAAUGCUUGGGAACUUGCCUUUGCGAGGGGGAUAACAGUUGGAAACGACUGCUAAUACCGCAUAAUGUCUUCGGACCAAACGGGGCUUAGGCUCCGGCGCAAAGAGAGGCCCAAGUGAGAUUAGCUAGUUGGUAAGGUAACGGCUUACCAAGGCGACGAUCUCUAGCUGUUCUGAGAGGAAGAUCAGCCACACUGGGACUGAGACACGGCCCAGACUCCUACGGGAGGCAGCAGUGGGGAAUAUUGCACAAUGGGGGAAACCCUGAUGCAGCCAUGCCGCGUGUGUGAAGAAGGCCUUCGGGUUGUAAAGCACUUUCAGUUGUGAGGAAAAGUUAGUAGUUAAUACCUGCUAG